rnacentral:tRNA from 1 species
GGCUGUAGCUCAGUGGCAGAGCACUUGCUUAGCAAGCGUGAGGCACUGGGUUCGAUCCUCAGCACCA